GAUGAGGAAUAGAAGAGUGUGUGUUUUUCUGGACCUUUUGGCUAUGUCUUCUUUGUUCUGAUGACCGACUUGCAGCCAUCAAGACUGGAACAUCUACUAGCCUGUCCCUGAAAGACUGUGGAACAGAUUGUACUAUGCACACCUGUUGGCAUAUCUGAUGAAGCCAUUGCCUUCUUCCCAGUGGUCCAAUGUGGAUACUUA
rnacentral:lncRNA from 1 species